rnacentral:rRNA from 1 species
AUUGAACGCUGGCGGAAUGCUUUACACAUGCAAGUCGAACGGCAGCACGGACUUCGGUCUGGUGGCGAGUGGCGAACGGGUGAGUAAUGUAUCGGAACGUGCCCAGUCGUGGGGGAUAACGUAGUGAAAAUUACGCUAAUACCGCAUACGAUCUAUGGAUGAAAGCGGGGGAUCGCAAGUCCUCGCGCGAUUGGAGCGGCCGAUAUCAGAGUAGGUAGUUGGUUGGGUAAAGGCCCACCAAGCCAACGAUCUGUAGCUGGGCUGAGAGGACGACCAACCACACUGGAACUGAGACACGGUCCAGACUCCUACGGGAGGCAGCAGUGGGGAAUUUUGGACAAUGGGCGAAAGCCUGAUCCAGCCAUUCCGCGUGCAGGAUGAAGGCCCUCGGGUUGUAAACUGCUUUUGUACAGAACGAAAAGGUUUCUACUAAUACUAGGAGCUCAUGACGGUACUGUAAGAAUAAGCACCGGCUAACUACGUGCCAGCCGCCGCCGUAA